CCUACGGGGGGCAGCAGUGAGGAAUAUUGGUCACUGGGCGAGAGCCUGAACCAGCCAAGUCGCGUGAGGGAGUACUGCCCUAUGGGUUGUAAACCUCUUUUGUCGGGGAGCAAAAGCCGGACGUGUCCGGCUGUGAGAGUACCCGAAGAAAAAGCAUCGGCUAACUCCGUGCCAGCAGCCGCGGUAAUACGGAGGAUGCGAGCGUUAUCCGGAUUUAUUGGGUUUAAAGGGUGCGCAGGCGGAUUUUUAAGUUCGCGGUAAAAUCGUGGGGCUCAACCCCAUCCAGCCGUUGAAACUGGGGAUCUAGAGUGGGCGAGAGGUAUGCGGAAUGCGUGGUGUAGCGGUGAAAUGCAUAGAUAUCACGCAGAACCCCGAUUGCGAAGGCAGCAUACCGGUGCACAACUGACGCUCAGGCACGAAAGCGUGGGUAUCGAACAGGAUUAGAUACCCCUGUAGUC
rnacentral:rRNA from 1 species